rnacentral:rRNA from 1 species
AGCGAACGCUGGCGGCAGGCCUAACACAUGCAAGUCGAACGGAUCCUUCGGGAUUAGUGGCGGACGGGUGAGUAACACGUGGGAACGUGCCCUUUGGUUCGGAACAACUCAGGGAAACUUGAGCUAAUACCGGAUGUGCCCUUCGGGGGAAAGAUUUAUCGCCAUUGGAGCGGCCCGCGUCUGAUUAGCUAGUUGGUGAGGUAACGGCCCACCAAGGCGACGAUCAGUAGCUGGUCUGAGAGGAUGAUCAGCCACACUGGGACUGAGACACGGCCCAGACCCCUACGGGAGGCAGCAGUGGGGAAUCUUGCGCAAUGGGCGAAAGCCUGACGCAGCCAUGCCGCGUGAAUGAUGAAGGUCUUAGGAUUGUAAAAUUCUUUCAGCGGGGACGAUAAUGACGGUACCCGCAGAAGAAGCUCCGGCUAACCUCGUG